rnacentral:rRNA from 1 species
UACAUGUGGGGCAAGCGUUGUUCGGAAUUACUGGGCAUAAAGGGUGCGUAGGCGGCUUGUUAAGUCAGGGGUGAAAGCUUUCGGCCCAACCGGAAAAUUGCCUUUGAUACUGGCGAGCUGGAGUGCGUGAGGGGUGACCGGAACGAGUGGUGUAGCGGUGAAAUGCGUAGAUAUCACUCGGAAGGCCAACGGCGAAGGCAGGUCACUGGUGCGCAACUGACGCUGAGGCACGAAAGCGUGGGGAGCAAACAGG